GCAGGGCAAGAACCACGCUAGCAGGCACGACAGCCCAAUUAAAGACGCCGGUCGGCGGCUGUUGAUUCGCAGGCGCUGCGCAGAAGCCCUGGAGAGGGCUGGAAGCUCUGCAGCCUUCCUGGACCCCCCAGCAAGCCCAACCCUGCCUGGCUCCGGAUCUGUCAUGCCUGGAUGGGUUUAAAGAACCGCGACCCAUUCUAAUGGAACAGGAAGCAGAAACUUCAUCGCCAGUUGCAAGUCUAAAGAUCAGCUGUAGGCUGAAGACUCCCAAACAGAUGCAGGGGGACCCCAUGGAGAACUCUGACACCUCACAGGAGCGUGAUGAAACCAUGAGAUAAAAGGAGCCUGGAUCCCUGAAUGACUGUGUGGAGCAGAGCCUCACCUGCUGUCUCUCCAACCAGCAUUUAAUUGUAAUCUGGGGCCCCAGUGUGGACCAAACAGCCCAGAAGUUGCCUACAACCAGUUUAAUUAUGAAAAUGACCUUAAGCUGACCUUACCUGCUGCCUGACCUGUUUCUACAUCCUAAGAUGCUUAUUGCACAACCAGAAACCCUCCUGUUGAAAAUACAGCUGGAAGCCAAGUGUAAAUGGAGGGUGACCGUGGAAAACAUUCCUCUGGUCCCUCAGCGUGAGGGCACAUCUCAUGCAGUGGCAUGAGGAUGAGAAAUCAGAUGCCCAGAGCCCGUCACCUUGAAACAGGCACCUCCAACCCUCUUACUUUAGUUGUCCCAAACAUUGGAUGUUCCUUAAAAACCACCUGUUUUCUGUGUCCUAUUUUGUUUUGUCCACUGUGCAAAACAAAGGACGGAUUUACCCACUCUAUGAGAGGGAAGGAUGGGAAGAGCAAUGUCACAUUAGGACUUUCCCAGUUGUCCUUGGUUUUAAGAAGCCAGGUGUAAUGAGAAAACACCAGAUGGUGGUGGUAUAGUUGCCUGAAACCAGAACGUCCCCACCCUUAUGCCCAGCACCACGAGAAUCUUCCUCUGGACGGGACCUUGGCCUAGCUGGCAAAAAAAGAAGAUGGGAACAGAGCAUUGUGAGAAGACCAUACAAAUGGCUAGAAAACCAAAGAGAGCUUUAAUUUCCAUUGGCAUGUGAGCCGAGGCUGUAGCGUUUCUCCUAUCAACUCCAAGGGGCUCAAGCUAGGAAUCUAAGGGUGUGUGUGCCAAAAGCCCUCUAUGAUCCACACCUUCUAGUAUUCAUGCCCUUGGGUAGUCCCCUUCCACGUUGUACCAUGAUUAGUCUGUGUGAUAGAAUUAUGGCUUCCAAAGAUUUCACGUCUUAAUCCCUGGGACCUGUGAAUACAUUAUGUUGCCUGACAAGAGGGAAUUAAGGUUGAGAAUGGAACUAAGGUUGCUGCCCAAUUGACCCUGAGAUGGGGAGAGAUUAUCCUGGGUUAUGUGGGUGGGUCCAGUGUAAUUAUGAGAGAUCUUAAAUGGCAAAGAGGGAAACAGAAGAGAUCAUCAGAUCCAGAGAGAUCACCUCAUUAGAAAGACUCUACUGGGCAUUGUUGGCUUUGAACAAGGAAUUCAGACAGCCUCUGUCUAGAAGCUGGAGACAAGAAAAUAAAUUCUCCUCUAUACCUCCAGAAUGAUGAACGUAGUCCUGCCUACACCUUGGCUUUAGCCCAUUGAAAGCCACUUUAGAUUUCUGACAUCCAGAACUGUAA